UGGGGAAUAUUGGACAAUGGACCAAGAGUCUGAUCCAGCAAUUCUGUGUGCACGAUGAAGUUUUUCGGAAUGUAAAGUGCUUUCAGUUGGGAAGAAAGAAAUGACGGUACCAACAGAAGAAGUGACGGCUAAAUACGUGCCAGCAGCCGCGGUAAUACGUAUGUCACGAGCGUUAUCCGGAUUUAUUGGGCGUAAAGCGCGCGCAGGUGGUUUAGAAAGUCUGAUGUGAAAGCCCACGGCUCAACCGUGGAGGGUCAUUGGAAACUAAUAAACUUGAGUGCAGGAGAGAAAAGUGGAAUUCCUAGUGUAGCGGUGAAAUGCGUAGAGAUUAGGAGGAACACCGGUGGCGAAAGCGGCUUUUUGGCCUGCAACUGACACUGAGGCGCGAAAGCGUGGGGAGCAAACAGG
rnacentral:rRNA from 1 species